CCGGGGACACUGUCUGUCCAGGACAGAUGUCAUCCUGGAGGAGCCCUACCUCCAGUCAGUUUGCAAGUGCUGUAGUUACCGUUUGGACCCUGACAACCCAGUCCGUUUCCUCAGCCUUCAGUGUGAGAGUGGCGAGAGCGAGCCGAUCGUCCUGCCCGUCAUACACAGCUGUGAAUGCGCCAGCUGCCAAGAGGAAGCAGUGAAGUUAUGAUUCCAUCAGUCUCACUGUUUCUCUUCCUCACAGGACUUCUUUUCCAGACGUGUGUGUGUGUGUGUGUGUAUGUGGGUGUGAGUGGGUGGAUGGGUGUGGG